rnacentral:rRNA from 1 species
UACGGAGGGUGCAAGCGUUAUCCGGAUUCACUGGGUUUAAAGGGUGCGUAGGUGGGCUAGUAAGUCCGUGGUGAAAUCUCCAAGCUUAACUUGGAAACUGCCGUGGAUACUAUUAGUCUUGAAUAUUGUGGAGGUAAGCGGAAUAUGUCAUGUAGCGGUGAAAUGCUUAGAUAUGACAUAGAACACCGAUAGCGAAGGCAGCUUGCUACACAAUCAUUGACACUGAGGCACGAAAGCGUGGGGAUCAAAACAGGA